CCCUUUGUUUUUCCUUGGAGAGAUCUUUGUUCAAUGUCCCACUCCGGCUGAAUACUCCAGCCUUAUAUUCCUUUGUUUGUGUGUCAGAUAACUCUUUUGGAGAUGGUACAAAAGAGGCCAGCACUCCAUCAUGUACACAAGAUCAACGAAGUAGCCAUCUGGCCGUAGCCAUCUCAGCAUCUGUUGCCUGUUCAUCGUCCAGUCCCCCUGGCAGCCCACCGUCAGUCAUUCCUCUGGCAUUUGCUUCUUCCCGGAUAGGAUCGCGAAGUGGUGUGGUGAGAUACGACAAGAUCUCCGGAUGUCCCUCGGCAAGCUUUAACAG